rnacentral:rRNA from 1 species
CGCUGGCGGCGUGCUUAACACAUGCAAGUCGAACGGAAAGGCCCUUCGGGGUACUCGAGUGGCGAACGGGUGAGUAACACGUGGGUGAUCUGCCCUGCACUCUGGGAUAAGCCUGGGAAACUGGGUCUAAUACCGGAUAGGACCACACACUUCAUGGUGAGUGGUGCAAAGCUUUUGCGGUGUGGGAUGAGCCCGCGGCCUAUCAGCUUGUUGGUGGGGUAAUGGCCCACCAAGGCGACGACGGGUAGCCGGCCUGAGAGGGUGACCGGCCACACUGGGACUGAGAUACGGCCCAGACUCCUACGGGAGGCAGCAGUGGGGAAUAUUGCACAAUGGGCGCAAGCCUGAUGCAGCGACGCCGCGUGAGGGAUGACGGCCUUCGGGUUGUAAACCUCUUUCAGUAGGGACGAAGCGAAAGUGACGGUACCUACAGAAGAAGGACCGGCCAACUACGUGCCAGCAGCCGCGGUAAUACGUAGGGUCCGAGCGUUGUCCGGAAUUACUGGGCGUAAAGAGCUCGUAGGUGGUUUGUCGCGUUGUUCGUGAAAACUCACAGCUUAACUGUGGGCGUGCGGGCGAUACGGGCAGACUAGAGUACUGCAGGGGAGACUGGAAUUCCUGGUGUAGCGGUGGAAUGCGCAGAUAUCAGGAGGAACACCGGUGGCGAAAGCGGGUCUCUGGGCAGUAACUGACGCUGAGGAGCGAAAGCGUGGGUAGCGAACAGGAUUAGAUACCCUGGUAGUCCACGCCGUAAACGGUGGGUACUAGGUGUGGGUUUCCUUCCUUGGGAUCCGUGCCGUAGCUAACGCAUUAAGUACCCCGCCUGGGGAGUACGGUCGCAAGACUAAAACUCAAAGGAAUUGACGGGGGCCCGCACAAGCGGCGGAGCAUGUGGAUUAAUUCGAUGCAACGCGAAGAACCUUACCUGGGUUUGACAUGCACAGGACGUACCUAGAGAUAGGUAUUUCCCUGUGGCCUGUGUGCAGG